UGUGCAUUCCAUCCAGAAGAACUGAGCAAGUUACUGGAAGCGAGUCUUGCAUGGGUCUUGGCGACAAGAUUUGUGAAGCGUAGACAGCGAGUACAAAAGCCGCGUGAUUGAGCUCCGAAAUUAGGUAUCAUCGCAUGAGGCUUUCACUAUACUACCAGUGGGAGCGACCGUGGGCGUACGAUAAGCGAGUGCGUUCACCUUGGCCGGGGUCGGAGAGCG
rfam:Termite gut metagenome tgut2b_Contig40383, whole genome shotgun sequence.